rnacentral:misc_RNA from 1 species
ACAACUAUUGCGAAGAAACCU